AGACGUCUACAUUAGAUACCCGGGUAGUCCCAGCCGUAAACUAUGCGCGUUAGGUGUAUCGGUGACCACGAGUUACCGAGGUGCCGAAGGGAAACCGUGAAACGUGCCGCCUGGGAAGUACGGUCGCAAGGCUGAAACUUAAAGGAAUUGCGGGGGAGCACCACAACAGGUGGAGCCUGCGGUUUAAUUGGACUCAACGCCGGGAAGCUCACCGGAUAGGACAGCAGAAUGAUUGCCGGGCUGAAGACCCUGCAUGACUAGCUG
rnacentral:rRNA from 1 species